GUGUUAGAGAAUUAGCAUCAGAAUUGGCCUCAAAGAAUUAGAAUUGAUGUGAUAGAAUUAGAAUAGGUGUUAGAGAAUUAGCAUCAGAAUUGGCCUCAAAGAAUUAGAAUUGGUGUGAUAGAAUUAGAAUAGGUGUGAGAGAAUUAGCAUCAGAAUUGGCCUCAAAGAAUUAGAAUAGGUGUGAUAGAAUUAGAAUAGGUGUUAGAGAAUUAGCAUCAGAAUUGGCCUCAAAGAAUUAGAAUUGGUGUGAUAGAAUUAGAAUAGGUGUUAGAGAAUUAUCAUUAGAAUUGGCCUCAAAGAAUUAGAAUUGGUGUGAUAGAAUUAUAAUAGGUGUUAGAGAAUUAUCAUUAGAAUUGGCCUCAAAGAAUUAGAAUUGGUGUGAUAGAAUUAGAAUACGUGUUAGAGAAUUAGCAUUAGAAUCGCCCUGACAGAAUUAGAUUAUGCUCCAAAAAUUUAUACAUAGCGAGAAUACAUUUGCAAACUCAUCAUAAACUCACUCGAAAUUGACAUCACUAAGAUUCUUCCCUAAUGCUGCAGUGUUUUAUGGGGGGCUAAAAAAGAACCUCCAACAGAGAAAAGGAAAGUCUGAACGCUUCCUCGGGUUGGGCGCUUAGCUGGAUAUGUAAUUGAGGAUUCUUGGAUGAAAAGCUCGGGAGAAUGAUGCAAAAAACACACACUCCCAGAGCACCAAAAACAAGCAUUACCAUUACGUUCAUUAUACAAUUACCUUAUAUGGAGGGUUUUGAGGGCAGUUAUUGCACGCACACACACACACACGCACUUACAUACACGCCCACUCACACACACACAGGGAAGAUUUAGUGGUACAUGACAAGACUGUGACGAGAGGGAAUAGUAAGAAACUGAAGAAGAGCGACUGUAGGAGAGGCGUUAAGAAAUACAGUUUUCCAUGCAGAAGCACACACACACACACACACACGCCCACGCACACACACACACGCACGCACACACUUCUUCUUCCCACCCACAAUACAAAACUUCCCUUCCGAGAUCUCGUACAAAUACCAUAGCUGACAAAUCAUUUAAAUAUUACGAGGAAAAAAAAGUUAAACUAUUAAAAGAUAUCAACAGAGUCUAACACAGAUGUGAUCACAGUUGGAAAAAUUCUUAGUUAACAUUAAAAAAAGGUUGUUAUUGUGGUUACUGUUAUUUUAAGUUAUUGAUAAUUAUUGCUUGGGUAUUGAGGAAAAAACUGUCUUCAGGAGAAAUGCCGAGUGACAGUUAAUAGGAAAAACUCUCGUAAAAUAAAUAAGAAAAUGGAAAAAUAUGGGGUCAGGCUGGGAGGUGAUAGGCUGAUGGGUCAGGCUAGGGUAGGUUAGGUUAGGUAAGGUUGGGUAGGUCAGGUGUAGGUUCGGUUAGGCUAGGUUAGGUUAAGUCAGGUUAGGUUAAGGUUGAGUAGGUUAGGUAAGGUUGGGAUGGGUAGGUUAGGUUAGGUAAGGCUUGGUAGGGCAGGUUAUUUAGGUAAGGUUGGGUAGGUUAGGUUAGGUUAGGUAAGGUUGGGUGUAGGUUAGAUUAGGUAAGGUUGGAUGUAGGUUAGGUUAGGUAAGGUUGGGUAGGUUAGGUAUGGUUGGGUGUACGGUAGGUUAGGUAAGGUUGGGUAGGUUAGGUUAGGUAAGGUUGUGUAGGUUAGGUUAGGUAAGGUUGUGUAGGUUAGGUUAGGUAAGGUUGUGUAGGUUAGGUUAGGUAAGGUUGUGUAGGUUAGGUUAGGUAAGGUUGUGUAGGUUAGGUUAGGUAAGGUUGGGUGUCCGGUAGGUUAGGUAAGGUUGGGUAGGUUAGGUUAGGUAAGGUUGGAUGUAGGUUAGGUUAGGUAAGGUUGGGCUAGGUAGGAUAGAGUAGGUUAGGUAAGGUUGGGUAGGGUAGGUUAGGUUAGGCUAAAUAAGAUUGGGUGUAGGUUAGGUUAGGUUAGUUAAGUACAGCUCCAUUACUACUUUCCCCUUAUAUAUACACUCCUCCUCAUUGCUAGUAAAAGGAUGAUUGUAAAAUAUCAAAGACAGAAAUGAUUAAGCACUGCACCAUUCCUCUUAGCAUCCUCCUCCUCCUCUUCCUUAUUCACAGGCAGUCCUCGCUAUGUAUAUUUCCGACGGACGCGCACACUUGCUUUACCAUAUAUUAUCUUAUGUAUGUUAUCUCACCAAAAGCUUAACGUCAGUUCGGAAGGAUUAAGCAC